UGGGCACAGGAUGGGCACAGGUGAGCAAAGGUGGGCACAGGCGGGCACAGGUGGGCACAGGCGGGCACAGGAUGGGCACAGGUGAGCAAAGGUGGGCACAGGAGGGCACAGGUGAGCACAGGAGGGCACAGGCGGGCACAGGUGAGCACAGGAGGGCACAGGUGAGCAAAGGUGGGCACAGGCGGGCACAGGUGAGCAUGGGAGGGCACAGGAUAGACACAGGAGGGCACAGGUGGGCACAGGUGAGCACAGGAGGACACAGGUGGGCACAGGAGGGCACAGGUAGGCACGGGUGAGCACAGGUGGGCACAAGUGAGCACAGGAGGGCACAGGCGAGCACAGGAGGGCACAGGUGGGCACAGGCGGGCACAGGAUGGGCACAGGUGAGCAAAGGUGGGCACAGGAGGGCACAGGUGAGCACAGGUGAGCACAGGAGGGCACAGGAUAGACACAGGCGGGCACAGCUGUGCUCAGGGGGGCUGGAUCGAGUUACGGUGGUCCUACAUGGCCACAGAUGAAGAGAUGGGCCAGAUGAAUAAACGGGCACAAGUGGACACAAGUGAGUCCUGGUGUGCAGAAGUGAGUCACCCGAGCCUAGGUGGGCACCGGUGCAUAAUGGACGAGCACAGACGUGUCUGGUGCAGACGCAGCAGAGACAGGCACGUACAGAGACACACAGGUGGGCGCAGGGAAGCACCACAGACAUGCGUGGGGGGUGCGGGGCGCGGCGCAGGCUCCCUCUCCACCCGCCCCG